UGACGGUACCUGACUAAGAAGCUCCGGCUAAAUACGUGCCAGCAGCCGCGGUAAUACGUAUGGUGCAAGCGUUAUCCGGAUUUACUGGGUGUAAAGGGAGCGUAGGCGGCGAGGCAAGUCUGAAGUGAAAGCUCGGGGCUCAACCCCGGAACUGCUUUGGAAACUGUUUUGCUAGAGUGCAGGAGAGGCAAGUGGAAUUCCUAGUGUAGCGGUGAAAUGCGUAGAUAUUAGGAGGAACACCAGUGGCGAAGGCGGCUUGCUGGACUGUAACUGACGUUGAGGCUCGAAAGCGUGGGGAGCAAACAGGAUUAGAUACCCUG
rnacentral:rRNA from 1 species